CCAGGAGAUCAUAACCUGAGCUGAAAUCAGAUGCUCAAUCAACUGAGUCACCCAGGUGUCCCAAGCUUCCUUUUUGAGGGUUUCCAUCUACCACCUACUUCUACUUACCUACAUCCCACACAAUAUGGACAGGAAAAAAAGCAGAGUGCAUUUUAUAAUUUCAGAGGAUGGAAGACAGGAGCAAUUAAUUAAUGAAGACUGAAGAAAUACUUAUUAUAAUGUUUAAAAUGUUCUUUUGUACUUAUUUGACAAAAAUCCCAAGAUUCAUCAGUUUCUGGAAACUCAACGCAAGGUAAGAGCUGCAGCUGACUUUGAAUCUGACAUAUGUGUGAAGUAAGAACCCAAUCGACAUUGAAAUGCCAGUCUGUGAUUUCCCUUGAGGUAUUGCUUUAGUUUCUGUUCCAUCAAAAGCACACCAGCUGUAACUAUGUGUUAAAUAUUUAUUUUGGAGAUGGAUAGAAAGGAAAAUUAGACACAGCCUCCACUUUCAAAAAUUUUAAUCUGGUAAGGGUGACAGACUGAAGGGAGUACACAAAUCAGAUUUAGGGAGUGAACAAGAUAGUGGUUGUGGGGAAAAUGUUGAAGGUGAGCUGCAAAAGGAAUAUUGAAGCCCUGUGGGUCUGAGAACAGAAAUGCUGUUGUUGGGAUGUCUUUUAAUUCCCAUCUAGGUGGAUAGGGAGAAUUUUUUAAUACAUUCCACCCGAAUGUGGAAUCUGAUAACACUCAUUAGUUUGCCCAUGGUAUCUAGUAGUUUUAUGACAUCUACACACUUAAACUUUGGAAUGGUGUGUCCCUCAUGGUGGAGGGGAGGCGAAGCACAUAAACAAUUUCAGGGACUUCUUUCUAAAGUCCUUAGGCAAUCAUCCAACCUCUGUGUGUCUCAGUUUCUCAAUCUGUAAAACAGUAAUGCAAUAUCUAUUCCACAAAAUAGUUGUGAGAAUUAAAUGAGAUAAUCAUAUAAAGUAUCUAGCACAGAUUCUAGACCAAAUGUUCAAUAAAAAGCAGUCAUUAUUUUAUCCUUUCUUUCUUUUUUCUGUGAGACUGGCUUUCCUUCACUGUCACUGAUGAGACACUAACCAAGCUGGGGGAUCAAACAAGGGACGCUUCACCAAGAAUUCCACAUGAAUGGUUUACGAUGUUGGUGAAAUGUUCUCUAUGAUACCACAAAAUGUCUUCUUAAAACCAACCAAAUAAUGUUGAUCAGUAAAUUUCCUUCUUCAGUGAUCUCUGUGGACAGAAGAGUUUGAGGCACAUGAACAAAGAAUGCUCAAGAUUAUUGGGAUCUGGAAGGUACUUUGUGAACACAUGAGGCUGCGCACCUGUACUCUAUGAUGGUGGUUGACAUUGGUGGUGGGAAGAUUUCAACUUUUCUCUAAUUUAAGAAGAUUUAAAUAAAGUAUGUUGUUCUGAUUGAAACCUGUGAAGAAAAUCUAGCUGCAUGAAAAUGUGUAGCUGGAAAAGGGAGGAUUUGACGGACACCUGAAAGAAUCUCAAGGACUCGUAGGUGUUUUUGGACUGCAUUUUGAAAAUGACUGAUAUAGAUCAGAACACUGGACCCAGCCUCAGAAGACCUGAAGUUGAAGUCCUGCUUCUUCUGUCUUAAAUGUUAUAACCGGG